rnacentral:rRNA from 1 species
UACAGAGGUCCCGAGCGUUGUUCGGAUUCACUGGGCGUAAAGGGUGCGUAGGUGGCCUAAAAAGUUUGAUGUGAAAGCUCAGGGCUUAACCCUGAAAUGGCAUUGAAUACUGUUGGGCUGGAGGUUUGGAGGGGGGACUGGAAUUCUUGGUGUAGCAGUGAAAUGCGUAGAUAUCAAGAGGAACACCAGUGGCGAAGGCGGCUACCUGGACCAGCACUGACACUGAGGCACGAAAGCGUGGGGAGCAAACAGG